UACGUAGGGGGCAAGCGUUGUCCGGAUUUAUUGGGCGUAAAGAGCGUGUAGGCGGCCGUACAGGUCAGCUGUGAAAACUCGAGGCUCAACCUCGAGACGUCGGUUGAAACCGUACGGCUAGAGUCCGGAAGAGGAGAGUGGAAUUCCCGGUGUAGCGGUGAAAUGCGCAGAUAUCGGGAAGAACACCCGUGGCGAAGGCGGCUCUCUGGUACGUGACUGACGCUGAGACGCGAAAGCGUGGGGAGCGAACAGG
rnacentral:rRNA from 1 species